UUUUAUUAAAUUUGUAGUCCGGGUGGCAUCCAAGUUCAACGAAGGAGAAGGAUGAAAAAAUAAAAUUCCUCUUUUUUCACAUCUGCUCGAUUCCUAGCAUCCAAAUCCAACGAAGAGAGAAAGAAGAAAAAAAUAAAUCCAUCUUUUCCACAUCCGCCCGAUUCCUUCUACGGUUUUACCUCUCUACCCCGCCUGAUUUCUUCUUGAUUCUCUUCUUGCUCUUGACGUUCCACUCCUCUCUUAAAUGCCCACUUGCCCGGGCUGCACCAUCCAGUCAUCUUCCUCUUCGCCGAGAACCCCUACAUCUUGUCCUCCCUCCUCCUCAUCUCUCUCUUUGCCAGCUCCCUUUUCUUCUCUGCCUUUGAGUUUUCCACCAUCUCCCUCUUUGCCAGCAACCUCGCCGCUUUAGCCACCAGUCCACCACUAACCCCAGGAGUCCCACCUACUCUGAACUCCUCUAUCGGCCAGAGGGUUCAAGCUUGACAAAGGAGAAGACACCAAUUGCUUCCUUGAUCAAAUUGUUUCUCUACACCGUCAUCCAUCCAGGAACUACUAGUUGGAGCUCCCAUUUUCAAUCUAUUUGCGACUUAAUAGAUAAGUAUAAUGCAACUAUUAAUGUACUUGAAAACAUUAUCACUGAUGGUUCCUCAACUUUGAUGCGUGGGGAAGCUGGUAGUUCCUUAAUAGUGAUAAAGUCUUUUGAUUUCAUUUUUAUUUUGCAUUUGAUGCAUAAAAUUAUGGAGAUCACAGACUUACGUACUUUGUUGUGUCUUGCAACAAAAAUCUCUUGAUAUCAUAAAUGUAAUGGAUUUGGUCUUUACAACUAAAGCAUUUCUUCUAACAUUGAGAAAUGAUGGUUUUGAUAUUCUUUUUUCAUAUGUCAAAUCAUUUUGCACAAGAUUGGAUAUUGAUACUAGAGAUGAGUGCUCAUUAUAAGCUUUCUAGUCGUUUAUGUUAACAAAGGGAUACCAUCACAGUUGAGCAUCACUUUCAUUACGAUAUAUUUAAUGCUGUAAUAGAUUUUCAAUUGGAAAAGUUACACUCUAGAUUCAUUGAUGAGACAGUAGAACUUCUUAUGCUUAUCUCUGCUUUUGAUCGAAAAGAUAAUUUUAAUUGGUUCAACAUUGAUAAGAUUUGUACUCUCACCAAGAAGUAUUAUCCUGAGGACUUCGUUGAACAGGAAAUGCAUAAUUUGAGGUGUCAACUACAACAUUAUGAGCUCGAUGUGAUUUGUCAUAAAAAUUUCAGAAAAUGUCCACUAUCUCAUAAUUGUGUCAAGGGAUAUUUGAAACAAAAAAAAAUGUAAUACUAUAAUUUGAUCGACAAGGUGAUUUGUCUAGUUUUAACUUUGCCUGUUUCCACUGCAACUACAGAGCGUGCAUUUUCGGCUAUGAAACAUAUUAAAACAAUUCUUCGUAAUAGAAUGGGAGAGGAUUUUCUGACAGAUUCUAUGAAUAUCCACAUUGAGAGAGAGUUUGUUGCAAGUAUUGAUUUAGAUUCUAUAAUUGAUGAAUAUUAUACUUUGAAGAAUCGUAAAUCACAACUUCAAUAAUAUAUGUAUGUAUAUAUGGAUCAUAAAAUGAUUUUUACUUUGUGAGUUAUUUGUGCUAAUUAAUUUUUUCAACUUUUAUUUAGGAAGUUAUGGCAUAAAAGCCCUCCAACUGGAAACUACAACUGGAGCGGCAAUUCAAUUUUUAACAAUGCGAUUGAGAUUAAUGUACCACAACCCCGGUUUUUGUCCAUGAAGGAAACAUUUGAUCUGCUUCUAGUGCAGGUGGCAAAGUUCCUUUCCUGUUUCAAGUCCAUACCUAGUAUUGUUGACCUUGACAAGGUUUCUGGUGAUGUUUGAUUUGGUUCAAGAAUAGUGUUGAAGAACUCAAGAAAAAAUAUCAAAGGGAUUUGCAAAACUUGACUUUGGCCACUCAAUCUUUCAAGAUUUUUUAUUUGUUUGUGUUUGCUACACUCCUAAUAUUUUGCAUUAAUGAGGAUUCAACCUACAAAAACUUAGAGAUCAUCAUUAUUGAUGCAGCUCAUAAUAUUGUUAUCCACAACAACCUAAGGAUUAACUCUAGAGUUACCAUUAAACUUUGCUUUCAUGGUUACCUUUUAUUUAGAAAUUUGAUGUGAUUUCACCUUAGAAUUUUAGUUACCCAUUUGAUGUGUUUGUCUAGUCCCAUAAGUUAUGUGAUUCUACUCAUCAACUUGUUUCCUUUGAUAAUUUGGACUCUGAUAUAUUUUAAUGCC